rnacentral:rRNA from 1 species
ACAGAGGUCUCAAGCGUUGUUCGGAUUCAUUGGGCGUAAAGGGUGCGUAGGUGGCGCGCUAAGUCGGGUGUGAAAUGCCGGGGCUCAACCUCGGCACUGCAUUCGAUACUGGCGUGCUUGAGGACUGGAGAGGAGACUGGAAUUCCUGGUGUAGCGGUGAAAUGCGUAGAUAUCAGGAGGAACACCUGCGGUGUAGACGGCUUACUGGACCACCACUGACGCUGAGGCACGAAAGCGUGGGUAGCAAACAGGA